rnacentral:rRNA from 1 species
GACAGAGGGUGCAAACGUUGUUCGGAAUUACUGGGCGUAAAGCGCGUGUAGGCUGUCUCGAAAGUCGGAUGUGAAAGCCCUGGGCUCAACCUAGGAAGUGCAUUCGAAACUUCGAGACUCGAGUCCUGGAGAGGAUCGCGGAAUUCUCGGUGUAGAGGUGAAAUUCGUAGAUAUCGAGAGGAACACCGGUGGCGAAGGCGGCGAUCUGGACAGUGACUGACGCUGAGGAGCGAAAGCUGGGGGAGCAAACAGG